GACAGAGGGUGCGAACGUUGCUCGGAAUUACUGGGCGUAAAGCGCGUGUAGGCGGAUGCGCAAGUCCGUUGUGAAAUCCCUGGGCUCAACCCAGGAACUGCAUCGGAAACUGCGUAUCUUGAGUAAUGGAGAGGGAAGUGGAAUUCCCGGUGUAGAGGUGAAAUUCGUAGAUAUCGGGAGGAACACCAGUGGCGAAGGCGGCUUCCUGGACAUUUACUGACGCUGAGACGCGAAAGCGUGGGGAGCAAACAGG
rnacentral:rRNA from 1 species